UACGGGGGGAGCAAGCGUUGUUCGGAUUUACUGGGCGUAAAGGGCGCGUAGGCGGUCAGCACAAGUCAGUUGUGAAAUCUCCGGGCUUAACUCGGAAAGGUCAACUGAUACUGUGCGACUAGAGUGCGGAAGGGGCAACUGGAAUUCUCGGUGUAGCGGUGAAAUGCGUAGAUAUCGAGAGGAACACCUGCGGCGAAGGCGGGUUGCUGGGCCGACACUGACGCUCAGGCACGAAAGCGUGGGGAGCAAACAGG
rnacentral:rRNA from 1 species